CUAAUUAUUGGUCAUUAAAUCUUGUGAUGUGCAUGUUUUGCAUAGAUCUUUUAUGAAAAGAGUCUGUUAUUAUUUUUCCCUAGUAGAACUGCACAUAAAGUGUUAGCUAUUGAGGUCACAGAGCCCAAAUUGAGAACUUCAACAUCAAAAUUUUAUACUUUCAAUAUGGGAGUCAAGUCUUAUAGCUUACAAUUAGCAUACAAUAAUUCACUCUGCUUUUGUAGCUUGUACAAACAUUACCUUUCCAGUGGCACCAACCACACCGAGUACAUUUCGAAGGAAAAUAUGGUGGAUUGCUUUGAUACUACUGAUAUUUGUUUUAGGAAAAUCACACCUCAAAAUUAGCUAUUGAGAUUGGAGAGUCCUAAAACCUACAGAAACUCCAUACUAUAGUUUGAUGCUUUCAAUGUGAGAUUCAAUUUCCAUACCUUGCAAAUAGAAAAAAAAAAAGAGAUUCUCUUCCUCAAAGCAAAAGAAAAUGAGAGGCAGUUAGAGUAUCAAAAAGGAGAAACAGGAUUCUUUUUUUACCGAAAUUUCAACUCAAAAAUUUUUGUUUUAACCAGCUUCCGAUCAGUUUCUCGAUGUGAGUUCCAUUUUCUUUUUUUCCAUUUUUUGUAUUGUUCUCCUAUGAAAUGCUCUGACAUAGGUUGUUUGUUAUAUAUGCUGACAUUUUAACUUUCAUGUGCCAGCCAUUUGGUUAUUGAGACAUCACAAGAAAUCAAUGAUGUGCCUUAUGGAGAUUAUUUUCAAGUGGAGGGACUUUGGGAUGUACAAGGGGAUACCAAUGACUCAGAGAAAUGCUGCAUUUUGCGAGUUUACAUCAAUGUGGCAUUUACAAAAAGAACUGUGUGGAAAGGAAAAAUUGUGCAGUCUACUUUGGAAGAAUGCCGAGAAGCUUAUGCAUUAUGGAUAGAAAUGGCGCAUGAAUUUUUGAAGCAGAAGAAAAUCGAGAAAAGAGAAGAAAUCAGUUCAACUGCUAACUCAAUUCAGAAUACAGAAACUCAAAUUGAAAGGCCAACGGAGACCGUGGAAACUUCCCAAAGAUCACAGGAAGAUCACACAAAGAGACUAAAAAUGUCUGAUUCUGUGACUGCUAACCAACAAGUACGCGGUCUCUUGCAAGGAAGUUGGAUUAGCACUUCACCACUCUCAUCUUUUUUGGGAGAAUAUUUGCUGAAAUUCUAUUCGUUAGUAAAAAGUCAAAGCCACAUUUCGCUGGUGUUAGCUAUUGCUUUUGCAGUAAUCUUACUUAUGCAGAUUGAUGAAUGCUAUAACUUUCAACUAAUUUGUCAGCUUUCUCAUGAUACAAGACAUGAGUUACAGUGGCUUUCUCCAUUGUAGGUGAGUAUAGUUGUGCUAUUAAACAGACCUCAACAUAUCCAUGUGGUUUCGCCAGCUGACUACAUGGGUGGUGGGGCUAGCGAAAGAUCAUCAGAAGCCAUGGCGUGGUUGGAAAAGCGGAUUCACUACUUUAAGGAUGAGAUGGUCAUGGUCGAGGCGCGGUUGGAGAGAAUGUGGCAUCAACAUGCAGUAUUGAAAAAACAAUUAAAAGAUCUAGAGCAGCUCAGGAAGCAGAGAUAAACUAGGUUUGAUUGUAUACUCUUGUGGGUCUUUACAUGCAUGCAGUACAUAUAUAAAAAUUUCUCUGUUUUUGCUGGAAGUUACAUAAAUUUCUUAAUCAGUUAAAUAUUGGUAACAUGGAUCUGAAGAAAUCAAUUGCAAGGUUAAAUCUGAACUUGGAGGUGAUUAAAGUUUGUCAUGGUGUAGAGCAACAGCAA